rnacentral:rRNA from 1 species
UUAACCAAUCAAACUUGU